CGGAGGAUCCAAGCGUUAUCCGGAAUCAUUGGGUUUAAAGGGUCCGUAGGCGGUUUAGUAAGUCAGUGGUGAAAGCCCAUCGCUCAACGGUGGAACGGCCAUUGAUACUGCUAGACUUGAAUUAUUAGGAAGUAACUAGAAUAUGUAGUGUAGCGGUGAAAUGCUUAGAGAUUACAUGGAAUACCAAUUGCGAAGGCAGGUUACUACUAAUGGAUUGACGCUGAUGGACGAAAGCGUGGGUAGCGAACAGGAUUAGAUACCCUGGUAGUCCACGCCGUAAACGAUGGAUACUAGCUGUUGGGCGCAAGUUCAGUGGCUAAGCGAAAGUGAUAAGUAUCCCACCUGGGGAGUACGUCCGCAAGAAUG
rnacentral:rRNA from 1 species